UCUAGAGGCUUCGUCAAUGCCCGAAAGGGUGAACGAGCGACGCCGCGUGCGGGAUGAAGGGCUUCGGCUUGUAAACCGCUUUUGUUUGGGAAGAAUGCCCGGAUCGUGAAUUCGGGAGGGACGGUACCAGACGAAUAAGCCCCGGCUAACUCCGUGCCAGCAGCCGCGGUAAGACGGAGGGGGCACGCGUUGUUCGGACUUAUUGGGCGUAAAGGGCGCGUAGGCGGAUUGGUAAGUCUGGCGUGAAAUCUCCACCACUCAACGGGGAGAGGUCGCUGGAAACUGCCGAUCUGGAGGUUGGCAGAGGGUCGUGGAAUUCCAGGUGUAGCGGUGGAAUGCGUAGAUAUCUGGAAGAACACCGGUGGCGAAGGCGGCGACCUGGGCCAAAACUGACGCUGAGGCGCGAAAGCCAGGGGAGCAAACG
rnacentral:rRNA from 1 species